GGAGAGGUGCCUGAGUGGCCGAAAGGGCCGGUUUGCUAAACCGUUGUACGAGCUUAAACUUGUACCGAGGGUUCGAAUCCCUCCCUCUCCGCGA
rnacentral:tRNA from 3 species